rnacentral:rRNA from 1 species
CCAGACUCCUACGGGAGGCAGCAGUGGGGAAUAUUGCACAAUGGGGGAAACCCUGAUGCAGCAACGCCGCGUGAAGGAAGACGGUUUUCGGAUUGUAAACUUCUGUUCUUAGUGAAGAAGAAUGACGGUAGCUAAGGAGCAAGCCACGGCUAACUACGUGCCAGCAGCCGCGGUAAUACGUAGGGAGCAAGCGUUGUCCGGAAUUACUGGGCGUAAAGGGCGCGUAGGUGGGCGCUUAAGUCAGGUGUGAAAACUCCGGGCUCAACCUGGAGACUGCACUUGAAACUGGGUGUCUUGAGGGCAGGAGAGGAAAGUGGAAUUCCUAGUGUAGCGGUGAAAUGCGUAGAUAUUAGGAGGAACACCAGUGGCGAAGGCGGCCUACUGGACGGUGACUGACGCUGAGGCUCGAAAGCGUGGGGAGCAAACAGGAUUAGAUACCCGCGUAAU